GGAUUCCAGGGCUGCUCAGAAGGAACCUCCAUCCCCGAGUGGAUGACCUCAGGAUCAGCACCGUCUGCCCCACGCAGCCCGCAGCCCGGUCCCCCAGAGCGCUCAGUCAGAAUCCGAGAGCAGCGUGGCGGUGCCCCCGUGUCGCCACAGGGCUGAGGACAGAGGACCCCGCUCCCCUGUCUCCCCAGCCAGGACUUCCCAGGCUCUCCCUCUGUUCCCAGCACCUGGACAGAGCUUUGCACACAAGGGAGUCUCCCGGUCUCAUGUCAGGCUCUGAGUUCAUCCAGCCUCCCAAAAUCCAUGUUGAUACGAACGUUUUCUCCCACAACUGAUUGGCUGGACUUUUGUCUCAGGGCAGAGAGAGGCCUCCAGUCCAAAACAGCAGGAUCAGGUCUGGAGCUGACUCAACCCCAGCCCCUUCCUAAUGCACGACCCAGACCCAGUCCCCCAGCCUCCAGGAUGGGACCUUGACCUCCUGUCCCCUCCCGUGUUCCUGCCACUACUCCUGCAGAUGGAGGCUGCUCAUCCCGGGAAUCAGUCUGUGAGCUCCAACCUUGGGGCCUGAGGACAGCAGCCCCCUGGGACCUCAGUCCGGGAAGAAGGGAGGCCCCAGACAGCAGAAGGGAGAUGAAAUGGAUCAUAAGAAAAGAAGGAGUCAUACCCAACACUAAAACUGACCUUUAUGAUACUCAGGAAUGUCCUGAUGUCAGCGGAGAUGAAGGGAAACCAGAAAGUCAGGAGUCAGAGGAAAGAGUAGUUUAUCUUAAUUCAUAUCAUACAUGUUUCCUGGGGGAAAAAAAAAAGGAAAAAUUCCUCUGGGAAAAGCAUCAAAAUCAUCAGGAAGUCUUCCACACAGAAAUGACUUCAUUAAUUUGAUUCCUGUCAUUCUUUCUUUUAAUUUAUAUAUUACUAUCCAUAGAGAGUUCUAUCCUGUGGGUUUUUUAUUUAAUUUUUGUUUGGUUGGUUUUUUGAAAGACAGUGAGACCUUGUCUCAAACAAACAAACCAACCUUACAGGCUGCAGUGCAGUGGCGCAAUCAUUGCUCACUGCAGCCUUGACCUCCCUGUCUGAAGCAAUCCUCCAGCCUCGGCCUCCUGAGCAGCUGAAACUACAGGAACAUGCCAUGCCCAACUAAUUUGUUUUAAAUUUUUUUGUAGAGAUGAGGUAUCACUAUGUUGCUGAGGCUGUUCUCAAACUCCCAGGUUCAAACAGUUCACCCACCUUGGCUCUCCGAAAUGCUGGGAUUACCGGCUGAGCCACACACCCAGCCUCUAUCCUGUGUUUUGAUUCAUCAUCAUCUCCUAAGCCCUUUCCCAGCACCGACAGUCUACUAAACAUGCCGUGAUUAAAUUAUAUCUCUAUACCUUGAUAUAAACAAAAAAUUAUAUAAGCAGUAUAGAUAAAUAUGAAAAAGUAAAAUUACUGCCAAAGUUAUUAGGAGGAUAUCCUAAAAAUAUUUGAAUAGGAAAAUCUUUCUUUUUUCUUUCUUUUUUUUUUUUUUUUUUUUUGUCAGGUUCUCAUUCUGUCACUCAGGCUGAAUUACAGUGGCCCGAUCAUGGCUCACCGCAGCCUCGACCUCUCAAGGCUCAGGUGAUCCUCUCGUCUCAGCCCCCUGAGUAGCUGGGACAACAGGUGUGUGAGACAACACCCAGCUCAUUUUUGUAUUUUUAGUAGAGAUGGGGUUUUGCCCUGUUACCCAGGCUGGUCUCAAACUUCUAGGUUCAAAUGAUCCACCCACCUCAGCCCCCCAAAGUGCUGGGAUUAUAGGCAUGUGCCACUGUGCCAGCCUCUUUCUUCUUUUUUUUUUUUUUUAACACCUGCUGGAAUGGAAAGUAUUUCUUUUUUUUUUUUUUUUUUUUGAGACGGAGUCUCGCUCUGCCGCCCAGGCUGGAGUGCAGUGGCCAGAUCUCAGCUCACUGCAAGCUCUGCCUCCCGGGUUCACGCCAUUCUCCUGCCUCAGCCUCCUGAGUAGCUGGGACUACAGGCGCCCGCCACCUCGCCCGGCUAGUUUUUUGUAUUUUUUUAGUAGAGACGGGGUUUCACCGUGUCAGCCAGGAUGGUCUCGAUCUCCUGACCUCGUGAUCCGCCCGUCUCGGCCUCCCAAAGUGCUGGGAUUACAGGCUUGAGCCACCGCGCCCGGCCUGGAAAGUAUUUCUUAAAUGAGACACAAAUGUAUCAAAUUGAAAAUGUUUAAACUUCGGAGGACUUAUAUAUAUAUACAGUCAUUCUUUGCUUAACGGUGAGAUAGCUUCUGAGAAAUGAGUCCUUAGGUGAUUUUGUCAUGUGUGGACAUCACAGAGUGUCCUCACACGAACCUAGAUGGUAUAACCUACUUCACACCUAGGCUACAUGAUGAGCCCAUUGCUCUUAGGCUGCAAAUUACAUAGCAGGUUACUGUAUGGAACACUGCAGCCAAUUCUAACACAAUGGUAAGUAUUUGUGGAUCUAAGCAUGUGUAAACAGAGAAAAGGUACAGUAAAAAUGUGGUUAAAAAAAGAUUUUUUAAAUGG
rnacentral:lncRNA from 1 species